ensembl:lncRNA
CCUCACUUGCUUUGGCAAUGUUAACACAUGUUUCCCAUGCCAAUAAAGCCCUUGAAUUGAAAUUGAAUUGAGAGAGACGGGAGGGUAGAGAGAGAGAGGGGAGGGUAGAGAGACAGAGGGAAGGAGAGCAAGAGAGAGGAAGGUAGAGAGAGAGAGGGUAGGGUAGAGAGAGCGAGAGAGGGGAGGGUAGAGAGAGAGAGGAAAGGAGAGCAAGAGAGAGGAAGGUAGAGAGAGAGAGGGUAGGGUAGAGAGAGCGAGAGAGGGGAGGAGGGAGAGAGAGAGGAAAGGAGAGCGAGAGAGAGGA